rnacentral:misc_RNA from 1 species
GAUGAAGAACGUAGCGAAACGCGAUAAGUAAUGUGAAUUGCAGAAUCCAGUGAAUCAUCGAAUCUUUGAACGCACAUUGCGCCCGCCAGCAUUCUGGCGGGCAUGCCUGUUCGAGCGUCAUUUCAACCCUCGACCUCCCCUUGGGGAGGUCGGCGUUGGGGACCGGCAGCACACCGCCGGCCCUGAAAUGGAGUGGCGGCCCGUCCGCGGCGACCUCUGCGCAGUAAUACAGCUCGCACCGGGACCCCGACGCGGCCACGCCGUAAAACACCCAACUUCUGAACGUUGACCUCGAAUCAGGUAGGACUACCCGUUGAACUUAAGCAUAUCAAUAAGCGGAGGA